GACGAACGCUGGCGGCGUGCCUAAUACAUGCAAGUCGAGCGAGCUUGCCUAGAUGAAUUUGGUGCUUGCACCAAAUGAAACUAGAUACAAGCGAGCGGCGGACGGGUGAGUAACACGUGGGUAACCUGCCCAAGAGACUGGGAUAACACCUGGAAACAGAUGCUAAUACCGGAUAACAACACUAGACGCAUGUCUAGAGUUUAAAAGAUGGUUCUGCUAUCACUCUUGGAUGGACCUGCGGUGCAUUAGCUAGUUGGUAAGGUGGGGGCUUACCAAGGCAAUGAUGCAUAGCCGAGUUGAGAGACUGAUCGGCCACAUUGGGACUGAGACACGUCCCAAACUCCUACGGGAGGCAGCAGUAGGGAAUCUUCCACAAUGGACCCAAGUUUGAUGGAGCAACGCCGCGUGAGUGAAGAAGGGUUUCGGC
rnacentral:rRNA from 1 species